CCUACGGGAGGCAGCAGUGAGGAAUAUUGGUCAAUGGACGAGAGUCUGAACCAGCCAAGUAGCGUGAAGGAUGACUGCCCUAUGGGUUGUAAACUUCUUUUAUAUGGGAAUAAAACGUUCCACGUGUGGGAUUUUGUAUGUACCAUAUGAAUAAGGAUCGGCUAACUCCGUGCCAGCAGCCGCGGUAAUACGGAGGAUCCGAGCGUUAUCCGGAUUUAUUGGGUUUAAAGGGAGCGUAGGUGGAUUGUUAAGUCAGUUGUGAAAGUUUGCGGCUCAACCGUAAAAUUGCAGUUGAAACUGGCAGUCUUGAGUACAGUAGAGGUGGGCGGAAUUCGUGGUGUAGCGGUGAAAUGCUUAGAUAUCACGAAGAACUCCGAUUGCGAAGGCAGUUCACUGGACUGCAACUGACACUGAGGCUCGAAAGUGUGGGUAUCAAACAGGAUUAGACACCCUUGUAGUC
rnacentral:rRNA from 1 species